CCUACGGGUGGCUGCAGUGAGGAAUAUUGGUCAAUGGGCGGAAGCCUGAACCAGCCAAGUAGCGUGCAGGAUGACGGCCCUACGGGUUGUAAACUGCUUUUAUACGGGAAUAACGCGCCUUACGUGUAGGGCUUUGCAUGUACCUUAUGAAUAAGGAUCGGCUAAUUCCGUGCCAGCAGCCGCGGUAAUACGGAAGGUCCGGGCGUUAUCCGGAUUUAUUGGGUUUAAAGGGAGCGUAGGCCGGAUGUCAAGCGUGCUGUGAAAUGUCCGGGCUCAACCCGGGCCGUGCAGGGCGAACUGGCGGGCUUGAGACCGCGGAAGGCAGGCGGAAUUCGUCGUGUAGCGGUGAAAUGCUUAGAUAUGACGAAGAACCCCGAUUGCGAAGGCAGCUUGCUGCAGCGGAACUGACGCUGAUGCUCGAAAGCGCGGGUAUCGAACAGGAUUAGAUACCCUUGUAGUC
rnacentral:rRNA from 1 species